rnacentral:rRNA from 1 species
GACAGAGGAGCCAAGCGUUGUCCGGAUUGACUGGGCGUAAAGCGCACGCAGGCGGUCGCGCGCGUGGGGUGUGAAAUCUGGCCGCUUAACGGCCAGGCGCCAUCCCAUACGGCGCGACUGGAGUGAUGCAGAGGUCGAUGGAAUUGCCGGUGUAGUGGUGAAAUGCGUAGAGAUCGGGAGGAACACCUGUGGCGAAGGCGGCCGACUGGGCCGACCCUGACGCUGAGGCGCGAAGGCGUGGGGAGCGAACGGG